rnacentral:rRNA from 1 species
AUGUAUCUAAUACUAAAACAUGACUUGAUACAUCCGUAUUUAGACAAAUCUCAGACAAGAAUUUUGGGACGGAGGGAGUAUGUCUAUAUACAUCCAUAUGUGGUAGUCCAUUUGAAAUCUCUAGAAAGACAAAUAUUUAGGAGCGGAGGGAGUAGUAAUCAGGAUAUUCAGACUAGCAUAUGGAUCUUCAAACAAGUUGGAGAACAGAAAAAGGGAUCAGCUCGGGUUCAUGAACAAAAGAAUCCGCUCACUAUGAGCAAAACACUACCACUAUGCACCUUAUGCCCAGUCUGCUCGUCAUGUUUCUGGGUGCAUGAUUAA